rnacentral:rRNA from 1 species
AACACGUGAGUAACCUGCCCUUGACUCUGGGAUAACCUCCGGAAACGGAAGCUAAUACCGGAUAUGACGUACGGAGGCAUCUCCUGUACGUGGAAAGAAUUUCGGUCAAGGAUGGACUCGCGGCCUAUCAGGUAGUUGGUGAGGUAACGGCCCACCAAGCCUACGACGGGUAGCCGGCCUGAGAGGGUGACCGGCCACACUGGGACUGAGACACGGCCCAGACUCCUACGGGAGGCAGCAGUGGGGAAUAUUGCACAAUGGGCGCAAGCCUGAUGCAGCAACGCCGCGUGAGGGACGACGGCCUUCGGGUUGUAAACCUCUUUUAGUAGGGAAGAAGCGAAAGUGACGGUACCUGCAGAAAAAGCACCGGCUAACUACGUGCCAGCAGCCGCGGUAAUACGUAGGGUGCAAGCGUUGUCCGGAAUUAUUGGGCGUAAAGAGCUCGUAGGCGGUUUGUCGCGUCUGCUGUGAAAUCCCGAGGCUCAACCUCGGGCCUGCAGUGGGUACGGGCAGACUAGAGUGCGGUAGGGGAGAAUGGAAUUCCUGGUGUAGCGGUGGAAUGCGCAGAUAUCAGGAGGAACACCGAUGGCGAAGGCAGUUCUCUGGGCCGUAACUGACGCUGAGGAGCGAAAGCGUGGGGAGCGAACAGGAUUAGAUACCCUGGUAGUCCACGCCGUAAACGUUGGGAACUAGAUGUGGG